AAAAAAACUUUCAUCCUCCACUUUUCCUGCGUUUACAUCUGCCUUACACAUGUGGGAUUGAGAUAUAGACAAAGAUCACGAGAGAGGGAGGCGGAGCUGCCGGCGGAGCACGGCGGCGAUGGAUCUGUUCAUUGCCAUGACCGUUCUCCUUCCGAUCAUCAUCAGUCAACGCUACCAUGAUCAAUAACGAAGCCGCCGUUUCCACCACCACCACCACCGUCGCAGCACCACCAUCAAAGGUUCAACUUCCACAGUGGCAGCGGCAAGAAGGUAUUUUGAGGGUUGGACACUGAUUUAUUGUACAUCAGGCUUUUGGUUUUGUAAACUUAUUGAAAGAGAUGAAGAUGCGAGAGGAAGAGAGAGAGUGGAAUCGACUUUGGUUUUCCGGUGUACAGGGUUUCGAUUAUGACUUACAGACUCACCUUCGCCGUCUCAAUUUUCAGAGACCAGUUAAUUACAGGUUAAGGAUGAAGUAGUAGGUUACAAGUGGUAAGCAGGGGCACAAGUUUGAUUUUCAAAGGAUUUAACCACCAGAAGAUGCCUUUUAGUUUUGGUUAACAAAUGCAACAACAGCUUUGAAUCUUCGUCUUCCAGAUUAAAAAAAUGUGACAUCAAAAUUCUUAGGAAGCAGUGGCAAUGGCAGUCGAAUGCUUGGAUUCGUCGGAGGAAACGGAACCGGUAGUAAAACAAACGGUGGUGCAAGUAAGAGUGGCCAUGUGGGAGGGUUAAGUAAUGGUAGCAGUUCGACCGUUGGUUCGAAUACUUCGGAUGGUAAAGGCACUUAUUUGAUAUUCAAUGUAGGAGAUACUUUGUAUAUUAAAGAACUCAAUUCCGAAGAAAAGGUAAUUGCGAUACUUUCAAGUUUUGAAAUUCGAAUGCUAAUUAAUUAUUGAUUAGAUUUUGACC